rnacentral:rRNA from 1 species
UAGACGGCGUUAAUCCAUACGACCCGUCUAGCAACUUCCGGGAAACCAAAGUUUUUCGUUUCCGGGGGAAGUAUGGUUGCAAAGCUGAAACUUAAAGGAAUUGACGGAAGGGCACCACCAGGAGUGGAGCCUGCGGCUUAAUUUGACUCAACACGGGAAAACUCACCCGGCCCGGACACCGUAAGGAUUGACAGACUGAUAGCUCUUUCUUAAUUCGGUGGGUGGUGGUGCAUGGCCGUUCUUAGUUGGUGGAGCGAUUUGUCUGGUUAAUUCCGAUAACGAACGAGACUCUGGCCUAUUAAAUAGACGGUGCGUCGAAAAGCGUGCCGCGCUUCUUAGAGGGACAAGCGGCGUCUAGCCGCAUGAAAUAGAGCAAUAACAGGUCUGUGAUGCCCUUAGAUGUCCGGGGCUGCACGCGCGCUACACUGAAAGAAUCAGAGUGCGUGAACGCCUAGUUCGGAAGAACCGGGUAACCCAAGUAAAUUCUUUCGUGCUUGGGAUAGGGAAUUGCAAUUAUUUCCCUUGAACGAGGAAUUCCCAGUAAGUGC